rnacentral:misc_RNA from 1 species
GCCGGAAGGCGUUGAGCACUGGAGUCUGGCCAUGGGCCUCGUCAGGGUGAUCGUGCGAUCCCCGC